GGUAGUCCACGCCGUAAACGUUGGGCGCUAGAUGUGGGUCACAUUCCGCGUGAUCCGUGUCGCAGCUAACGCAUUAAGCGCCCCGCCUGGGGAGUACGGCCGCAAGGCUAAAACUCAAAGGAAUUGACGGGGGCCCGCACAAGCGGCGGAGCAUGCGGAUUAAUUCGAUGCAACGCGAAGAACCUUACCAAGGCUUGACAUAUAGAGGAAAACUGCAGAAAUGUAGUCCCCGCAAGGUCUCUAUACAGGUGGUGCAUGGUUGUCGUCAGCUCGUGUCGUGAGAUGUUGGGUUAAGUCCCGCAACGAGCGCAACCCUCGUCCUAUGUUGCCAGCACGUUAUGGUGGGAACUCUUGGGAGACUGCCGGGGUCAACUCGGAGGAAGGUGGGGAUGACGUCAAAUCAUCAUGCCCCUUAUGUCUUGGGCUUCACGCAUGCUACAAUGGCCGGUACAAAGGGCUGCAAUACCGCAAGGUGGAGCGAAUCCCAAAAAGCCGGUCUCAGUUCGGAUUGAGGUCUGCAACUCGACCUCAUGAAGUCGGAGUCGCUAGUAAUCGCAGAUCAGCAACGCUGCGGUGAAUACGUUCCCGGGCCUUGUACACACCGCCCGUCAAGUCACGAAAGUCGGUAACACCCGAAGCCGGUGGCCUAACCGUAAGGAAGGAGCCGUCGAAG
rnacentral:rRNA from 1 species